GUCAUAGCGGAACGUUGCGUUCUUUUAGUAAUUUUAUAUUUUCUUACAAAAUGAAGUCAAUAUUGAUGUUUUUCGCGAUCGCUGUGUGCAGUGUGACGUCAUUUAACGAUUAUGGAAUACCUACAAGGAACUGUCCUCCAGGCGAGCACACAGUGCUAUACUGCCCACAAAAGGCGGAACCUACAUGCGACGACCCGACUCUACGCGAUCUAGAGUUUGGAGCGUGCGAUAUUCCCGACUGCUUCUGCAAUGAACCCACUGUGCGAGACACCAGCACAGGGGGAUGUGUUGCGUUGUCUGAUUGUCCAAAAAAGUGUGAUCGAUGAAGAAAAAGAAAGAUUUUUAUGAAUCGACUCUAAUUUUAAAAAAUACAUUUAUUGUAUACAAAUAAACAAAAAUGUUGUUCAUUUUACUUA